UACGAAGGGGGCUAGCGUUGCUCGGAUUGACUGGGCGUAAGGGGCGCGUAGGCGGUUCGUACAGUCAGACGUGAAAUUCCUGGGCUCAACCUGGGGGCUGCGUUUGAUACGUGCGGACUUGAGUGCGGAAGAGGGUCGUGGAAUUCCCAGUGUAGAGGUGAAAUUCGUAGAUAUUGGGAAGAACACCGAUGGCGAAGGCAGCCAUCUGGACCGACACUGACGCUGAGGCGCGAAAGCGUGGGGAGCAAACAGG
rnacentral:rRNA from 1 species